rnacentral:SRP_RNA from 1 species
GUUUGGGUCCUGCGCAAUGUGAUGCCGUGAACCUUGUCAGGUCCGGAAGGAAGCAGCAAUAAGCGGAUUUUUGCAUGUGCCGCAGAUAAGCCUUCUCCUA